GGUGAACGCUGGCGGUAGGCCUAACACAUGCAAGUCGAACGGCAGCACAGUAAGAGCUUGCUCUUACGGGUGGCGAGUGGCGGACGGGUGAGGAAUACAUCGGAAUCUACUUUUUCGUGGGGGAUAACGUAGGGAAACUUACGCUAAUACCGCAUACGACCUACGGGUGAAAGCAGGGGAUCUUCGGACCUUGCGCGAUUGAGUGAGCCGAUGUCGGAUUAGCUAGUUGGCGGGGUAAAGGCCCACCAAGGCGACGAUCCGUAGCUGGUCUGAGAGGAUGAUCAGCCACACUGGAACUGAGACACGGUCCAGACUCCUACGGGAGGCAGCAGUGGGGAAUAUUGGACAAUGGGCGCAAGCCUGAUCCAGCCAUACCGCGUGGGUGAAGAAGGCCUUCGGGUUGUAAAGCCCUUUUGUUGGGAAAGAAAAGCAGCAGGUUAAUACCCCGCUGUUCUGACGGUACCCAAAGAAUAAGCACCGGCUAACUUCGUG
rnacentral:rRNA from 1 species